CCUACGGGAGGCAGCAGUGAGGAAUAUUGCACAAUGGGGGCAACCCUGAUGCAGCAACGCCGCGUGAGUGAUGAAGCAGUUUAUCUGUGUAAAGCUCUGUUGGGAGGGACGAAUUGUAGGGUUAGUUGCCUUAUUUGACGGUACCUCCUGAGGAAGCUCCGGCUAACUCCGUGCCAGCAGCCGCGGUAAUA
rnacentral:rRNA from 1 species